GAUUAUGGCUCAGGAUGAACGCUGGCGGCGUGCCUAAUACAUGCAAGUCGAACGAGGGUGCUUGCACCCUAGUGGCGAACGGGUGAGUAACACGUAGGUAACCUGCCCUUAAGCUUGGGAUACCCAGAGGAAACUUUGGCUAAUACCGGAUAACAACAGAAGAGGCAUCUCUUCAGUUUGAAAGGCCCUUUACGGGGUCACUUAAGGAUGGACCUGCGGCGCAUUAGUUAGUUGGUGAGAUAAAAGCCCACCAAGACGAGGAUGCGUAGCCGACCUGAGAGGGUGAUCGGCCACAUUGGAACUGAGACACGGUCCAAACUCCUACGGGAGGCAGCAGUAAGGAGUUUUCGGCAAUGGGGGAAACCCUGACCGAGCAACGCCGCGUGAGUGAUGACGGCCCUAUGGGUUGUAAAGCUCUGUUGUAAGGGACGAAUGACUAGCUUAGGAAAUGAAGUUAGUUUGACGGUACCUUACCAGAAAGCCACGGCUAACUACGUGCCAGCCGCCGC
rnacentral:rRNA from 1 species